GACGAACGCUGGCGGCGUGCUUAACACAUGCAAGUCGAACGGAAAGGCCCUGCUUUUGUGGGGUGCUCGAGUGGCGAACGGGUGAGUAACACGUGAGUAACCUGCCCUUGACUUUGGGAUAACUUCAGGAAACUGGGGCUAAUACCGGAUAGGAGCUCCUGCUGCAUGGUGGGGGUUGGAAAGUUUCGGCGGUUGGGGAUGGACUCGCGGCUUAUCAGCUUGUUGGUGGGGUAGUGGCUUACCAAGGCUUUGACGGGUAGCCGGCCUGAGAGGGUGACCGGCCCCCUUGGGACUGAGAUACGGCCCAGACUCCUACGGGACGCAGCAGGGGGGAAUAUUGCGCAAUGGGCGGAAGCCUGAUGCAGCAACGCCGCGUGCGGGAUGACGGCCUUCGGGUUGUAAACCGCUUUCGCCUGUGACGAAGCGUGAGUGACGGUAAUGGGUAAAGAAGCACCGGCUAACUACGUG
rnacentral:rRNA from 1 species